CUAAUCCUCCUUCUCCUCCUAAGCUUCUUCCACUUCUCUUCUCAUAUAAUCUCUUCAUUUCAAUAAAAACCAAAACUACUACUUGUCUCUUUGCCUCACUGCCAAAAUCACCACUACCUUAAGCUUAGUGUGAAACCAAAUCACUUUUAUUCAUUCAUAUACAUCGAGAGAGAGAGAGAGAGAGAGAGAGAGAGAGAGAGAGAGAGAGAGAGAGAGAGAGAGAGAGAAGAAGAAGAAGAAUACUAUAUAUUCAGCAAACUUUUCCCUUUUCUUUUCCCCUUUCUUUUCACCGGGAUUUCAGAUACCAUUUUCCUCAAUAUCAACUAUCAAGUAUCAACUCUAUUACUGCACUUGACUUCUUUGAUUAUCAAGCAUUUUGAUUAUUAUUAUUAGUUUUUUCUCCGGUUUUUUUGUUGUAGUGCGGCAGUGAUUACAGCAUAUUUGAUGAGAACGAAAAAUCUCUCUCUCGAAGAUUUCCUUGAAUCAUUAAGGAAGAGCUAUGAAUUUGUUUGUCCCAAUGAUGGCUUUCUUGAGCAGUUGAGAAUGUUCGAGGAGAUGGGCUUCAAGGUUGAUCACUCCAGUCCUAUAUAUAAGCGCUUUCAUCUG